CUUUACCUAAGAGGACACUUAGGACAGCUGAUAGCUUGGGCGAUGCAUCACAUGGGCAGCUGCCAACUUGGUUUUUGAAUCAUAAAACCCAGCUAGUUCCCAAAGGCUCAAGUUAUGUGGUCACGGGUUGGUUUGCCACACCACCCUAGACUAACUUGGAGCUCAAGUACGAAUAGACUAAUGUUUUGCUAAAAGGUAUUUGAAUUUCAAACACUUAAAAACUAAAGCAAACACAUUUGAAUAUGCACAUGGUCAGACCCAGUAGAUAGAACAGAUACAGCAGGGGUAUCCGUUUAAUCGGGAUGGCAAGCACAGCUGCCAUCCUUAGUGAAUGAAUGUGAUGCACAUGCAUGAACUACCUGAUGCACAUGAGAUCUGUCAGGUUCUUCAUUCUUCACUUGAGUAGUCCUUGCUACCAGAUUACAACAUGUAGCAUGUAUCCUUGUGUUUUGAUCAUAAAGGAAUAGCCAACAAUUCUUGUACCAGUUGACCAAAAAAAAACAAUUCUUGUACCAACAAUCUCCCCCUUUGGCAUUCCUGAUCAAAACACACCUUCAAAGGUUGUGCUGGUUCUAAACAUAAGAAUAGACUAAACACCUGCACAAACAUCUCAAGAACAAGUGAAGGUAUGGAGGGCCAAAAAAAAACUCUUAUGAAACACAAGCUGUGGGAUACCAAGACAAUCAUGCAUCAUAACCAACAGAAUAGCAUAAACAACAAACAACAUAAGUCAAGAAUUUAACCACACAGCAUUCAUAAAUAAUUCAGAGUUUUGACAACAUAAGCCCUACAACUAGUUCUCCCCCUUUUUGGCAGUGAAUGCCAAAGGGAAACAGAUGUUCAACAUAAAAACAACCUACAUCCGAGAAUGGAUAAAACAACAUUUAUGCAGAGAACCACAACAGAAAACCUAAGUAGAAGCAUCCUCAUCAUCACUGGGCUCCCUGCGGAUCACAUCAUCAUCACUCUCACUUUCCUUAUCAUCAGGAUCAGAGGAGGCACGCGUAUCCUGAGAAGAAGCAGUGGAAGAACCAGAGGCAUCCUCAUUUCUGCAGCGCUCAAACUCCCUUAAGAUCUCAGGCAUCUCCUUCUUGAAGUUGUAGAACUGACGUCCAACAUAGUCCCUAAAACCAAUGACUGCCUCCUCGCAUUGCCUUGUCCACAAUGAGCUUGAUCUCCUUUUUCAGCAAGGUCUGCUCCAAAGACUCCACAUAUAACCCGGACUGAGCAGCGGAUUUGGCAAUUGUGACACGGUCAACAGGGUUGACAGGCAGAGCAAGAGCAUCAUCUCCAUGGAAUGGGACAUUGCUCUUGAUGNNNNN
rnacentral:lncRNA from 1 species